AACGCUUAUGUCUCAACUAACCUCAACUCUAUCAUCUCAAACCUCUCAUUCCAACAGGACUGGCGCCCAGAGAGCAAAGCUCGACCAGGGACCUUACCUCCAGUUCGGUCACUUAACUCUCAGCCUUAGCCUUUCGGCUCUCUUAUCCAAUAAGACUGGCGCCCAGAGAGCUUAGCUCGACCAGGGACCUUACCUCCAGUCUGGUCACUUAAAUUUCCAA
rnacentral:lncRNA from 1 species